rnacentral:rRNA from 1 species
GACGAACGCUGGCGGCGUGCUUAACACAUGCAAGUCGAACGGAAAGGCCCUGCGUUUGCGGGUUGCUCGAGUGGCGAACGGGUGAGUAACACGUGAGUAACCUGCCCUUGACAUUGUGAGAACUUCAGGAAACUGGGGCUAAUACCGGGUAGGAGCUCUUGCUGCAUGGUGUGGGUUGGAAAGUUUCGGCGGUUGGGGAUGGUCUCGCGGCUUAUCAGCUAGUUUGUGAGGUAGUGGCGUACCACGGCUUUGACGGGUAGCCGGCCUGAGAGGGUGACCGGCCACCUUGGGCCUGAGAUACGCAGCAGACGCCUACGUGCGGCAGCAGUCGGGAAUCUUGCGCAGCGGGCCGACGCCUGAUGCAACAACGCUGCGUGCGUGAUGACGGCCUUCGAGUUAUAAACCGAUUUCGCAUGUGCCGAAGAGAGCGUGACGGUAAUGAGUAAAGAAGCCCCGGCUAACUACGUG